AAAAUAACAUCUUUAUGCCAUCUUCACCUUUUAUCUCCAUCAUCUAUAUAACACCAACAUAACCUUCACCAAUCUCCACAAUAUAGCAUCAAUAUUGUCAUCCUCAUUACAAUGAUAGUAACAACACAAUAGAAAAAAACCACAACAACAAAUCUGAAACAAAAAAAAGAAGAAAAAGAAGAAGGAAAACAGUGUAAAGAGGAAAUAUAAACCUUAUUCAUCGUCUUUUUCGUCUGGCAUAUCUUCAUUUUCC
rnacentral:lncRNA from 1 species